rnacentral:rRNA from 1 species
CAGUCGAGCGGAUGAAGGAGCUUGCUCCUUGAUUUAGCGGCGGACGGGUGAGUAAUGCCUAGGAAUCUGCCCGGUAGUGGGGGAUAACGUUCCGAAAGGAACGCUAAUACCGCAUACGUCCUACGGGAGAAAGCAGGGGACCUUCGGGCCUUGCGCUAUCGGAUGAGCCUAGGUCGGAUUAGCUAGUUGGUGAGGUAAAGGCUCACCAAGGCGACGAUCCGUAACUGGUCUGAGAGGAUGAUCAGUCACACUGGAACUGAGACACGGUCCAGACUCCUACGGGAGGCAGCAGUGGGGAAUAUUGGACAAUGGGCGAAAGCCUGAUCCAGCCAUGCCGCGUGUGUGAAGAAGGUCUUCGGAUUGUAAAGCACUUUAAGUUGGGAGGAAGGGCAGUAAGUUAAUACCUUGCUGUUUUGACGUUACCGACAGAAUAAGCACCGGCUAACUUCGUGCCAGCAGCCGCGGUAAUACGAAGGGUGCAAGCGUUAAUCGGAAUUACUGGGCGUAAAGCGCGCGUAGGUGGUUCGUUAAGUUGGAUGUGAAAGCCCCGGGCUCAACCUGGGAACUGCAUCCAAAACUGGCGAGCUAGAGUACGGUAGAGGGUGGUGGAAUUUCCUGUGUAGCGGUGAAAUGCGUAGAUAUAGGAAGGAACACCAGUGGCGAAGGCGACCACCUGGACUGAUACUGACACUGAGGUGC